rnacentral:rRNA from 1 species
UGGGGAAUAUUGCACAAUGGGCGAAAGCCUGAUGCAGCGACGCCGCGUGCGGGAUGAAGGCCUUCGGGUUGUAAACCGCUUUUAAUUGGGAGCAAGCGAGAGUGAGUGUACCUUUUGAAUAAGCACCGGCUAACUACGUGCCAGCAGCCGCGGUAAUACGUAGGGUGCAAGCGUUACCCGGAAUUAUUGGGCGUAAAGAGCUCGUAGGCGGUUUGUCACGCCUGGUGUGAAAGUCCAUCGCUUAACGGUGGAUCUGCGCCGGGUACGGGCAGGCUAGAGUGCAGUAGGGGAGAUUGGAAUUCCCGGUGUAACGGUGGAAUGUGUAGAUAUCGGGAAGAACACCAAUGGCGAAGGCAGAUCUCUGGGCUGUUACUGACGCUGAGGAGCGAAAGCAUGGGGAGCGAACAGGAUUAGAUACCCUGGUAGUCCAUGCCGUAAAACGGUGGAUGCUGGAUGUGGGACCCUUCCACGGGUUCCGUGUCGGAGCUAACGCGUUAAGCAUCCCGCCUGGGGGAGUACGGCCGCAAGGCUAA